rnacentral:lncRNA from 1 species
UGGCUCUUCCUCAGUCUAGGUUAUCAUUUCACAUGGAGGAGUGUAUGAGGUCUGUGGUAAUAGAUACAAAGAAUCCCAGAUACAAAGAUCUUUGGAUUUGGCUCAUAUAUUUCCAUGUAGAACUGCAGGCCCAAUUUCUCAUCCUCAUCACCAUGGUGUCUUCAGCAGAGUUCCCUGAGUAUAACCAAACCCAAACCAAAACCAGAACUUGGCCUGGGCUCCACGGUAUUUUUUGAUGGAACCAUGCAUUUAAACAAACUGGAAGAUCCAUGUCAUGUUGUCCUUUAAGUCUUGAAAACAGUCCCUGGAAAUGGAGUACUACUAUUCAUCAUUCACAUUUCAGCCCCUGGCCCGACUGUGCAUCUCACUCCUCCAGGCUUCUCCUGCCGUGAAACCAGUCUGACCACCAGUUUUGGAGAGGAAAUGUUUUAUAGCUGCCUGGAACGCACCGAGAGACCUGUGCUCCCUUCAGGGUAGUGCUGAACCUGAAAAUGUUCCGUGUAACUGGGAGCCCAUUAACUAAAGCAAGAGGGCAGAACGUGACCAUAUUUUAUUUUAAUAAGCUUGGCUAUUAUCCUCAGUACACAUUACAGGAAAUCCCUGUUAGUGGCGGCUGAUCACAGAACUUCAGUUUGCAAACUCAUCUGGAGAAAGGCAGCUGUGACAUUAACUAUUCCACCCCAGCUAAGGACUUCCAUGGAUUAGCAGCCAUAGACUGGGAAUACUGGAGCCCUCAGUGGGACUGCGACUGGGAUGCAAAAGAUGUUUACAGGAGAAAGGCCAGGAAACUCAUUUCUCAAAUGGAAGGGAUUUUUUUCAGCAGCUGCUGUUGAACAUUAAGUCAGAUUUUCCUUAAAAAAAAGUGCAAAAGCUUUUAUGAAGGAAACAGUUGCAUUAGGAAUGAAAAGCAGAACAAGGGGCCUGCAGGGAUGCUGUUUAACCCUGACUGCCACAAUUGCAAUUUCUGUGUUAAGAAGUGCUCUGGUUCCUGCCUAAAGAGUGAAGUUUUGGGGAACAAUGAACUUCCCUGGCUCUGGGAUGGUGCUGCAGCCCUAUUUAUGUCUGAAGCCCCAACGUGUCCUGAAGCCUUCAGACAGCCACAUUUUUUGUCAGGAGAAAAGACUUUGUCCUCAGAGCUGUGUGAAGUGGGUGUUCUGGGCCACUUUUCUCCUGGCAGAUAGUAAAGAAAACCCAGCCAUUUUCAGAAUAAAUGGCUGAAGGUAAGUGUUCA